GAUCUGCUGUGGGCAGAUGAAGUGGAUGUGAGCGUCGAUUCCUCCGGCGGUGAUGAUGUUUCCCUCUGCUGCGAUGACCUCGGUGCCAGCACCGAUGAUCAUGGAGUCUUUUUUUCCAGUGGCUGGAUCGGGAAUGCUGGAGCCGAUGCCGCUUUGGAUGCAGGGAUUUCCGGCAUGGCCGAUGCCGACGAUGCGUCCGGCGCGGAUGCCGAGAUCGGCUUUGAUGACGCCAAGUUCGGCAUCGAUGAUGGUGGCGUUGGUGAGGACGAGGUCGAGUGAUUCGGCAUCGAGGGCGCUCGAGGAUUGGCCCAUGCCAUCGC
rnacentral:sRNA from 1 species